rnacentral:sRNA from 1 species
CCGCGGCUUCUGGGGCCAAGUGUGUGCUCACCCACAGCCCGACGUGGAUCAUCGACCCCAUCGACGGCACCUGCAAUUUUGUGCACAGAUUCCCGACUGUGGCGGUUAGCAUUGGAUUUGCUGUUCGACAAGAGCUUGAAUUCGGAGUGAUUUACCACUGCACGGAGGAGCGGCUGUACACGGGCCGGCGGGGUCGGGGCGCCUUCUGCAAUGGCCAGCGGCUCCGGGUCUCCGGGGAGACAGAUCUCUCAAAGGCCUUGGUUCUGACAGAAAUUGGCCCCAAGCGUGACCCUGCGACCCUGAAGCUGUUCCUGAGUAACAUGGAGCGGCUGCUGCAUGCCAAGGCGCAUGGGUAGGAGGUUCAGUUCGGGGAACACCCUGCAGCCAGAGGAGGAAGAACGGAACACGGGCUUGCUAAAACUCCCCUGGGAUUUGAGGAGGAAGCCUGGCGUGGAAAGAGUGGGAGGGGCACAUGAACAUCAGACUCAGGGAAGCCCUGUGAGGGGCCUGCCUGCAGUAGAUACUCCUAUAGCCAGGCCUCUGGAGAUGCGUGGGCACCUGUGUCGCUUCUGAUCAGAAUCCAUGGAACUGACCUCAUGCUGCUCAACCAGGGAAUGGUGCAAAUACUUACAGUCCUUCCCAAGGGGGCCUGGCGUCAGACAGGUUUAUCAAAGCCCAGUGAAUCCUCUUUGUCUCUUGCCUUCCCAGUAGGGCUGUGCUGUGAGCCCUAGCCAUGUGAGACCACUGACACUUAAUGUCACGUUCAGUAGAGGAGGAUUCAUUUCUCUGGUUGCUGCAUCUCAGGUGCUCAGUAGCUAGGUCAGCUGGGAGCUGUCAUGGCACAAGGCAUUUGCGUCUGGCAGAGGCCUGUUGGUUGGUGGCUCC